GGCUACCCCGGCUACUCCUGCUCAGCAUGGCUGCUUUGGCGACUCUUCUCUUCAGCAGGGACUGGCUGCCAACCCCUCCGGCUACGGGCCCCUUACAGAGCUCCCAGACUGGUCAUAUGCGGAUGGCCGCCCUGGUCCCCCAAUGAAAGGCCAGCUUCGAAGAAAAGCUGAAAGGGAGACGUUUGCAAGACGAGUUGUACUGCUGUCACAGGAAAUGGACGCUGGAUUACAAGCAUGGCAGCUCAGGCAGCAGAAGUUGCAGGAAGAACAAAGGAAGCAGGAAAAUGCUCUUAAACCCAAAGGGACUUCACUGAAGAGCCCACUUCCAAGUCAAUAAAAAGCAACUCCUGCCUCCCUUCCUC
rnacentral:sRNA from 1 species